AUGGUUAAGAGGGCAGGGAGCAUGGGGUUGUGCUCUUCGGUUUUAUUUCUAUUUGAUCGGGAAGGGAGAGGGGGGGAAGCUAAUAUCCAGUUUUGCUGAUUGAAGGCAGCUGACUCUGUGUUGGAGCUGGAAGAGACCCUGAAAGGUCAUUGAGACUAGCCUUCACUAACAGGACCAAGUACUGAUUUUGCCCCAGAUCCUGAAGUGGCUCCCUCAAGGAUUGAACUCACAACCCUGGGUUUAGUAGGCCGAUGCUCAAACCACUGAGCUAUCUCUCCCCCCAUGUCAGAUGAUGUAGACCCUCAUAGCAGCAGUGUGUUUGGAAAGGGUCAUCCUAGAAUAUGAAGGUGCAAACUUCUAAAAUUCAAAAUUAUUCACUCCUGUGGGUUUUUUUUUUUUAAAUUUGCAUAGAAAUGCUAGCACAUAAAUGGGAACAAAAGGCAGCUAAAACCUGAUGCAGCGAGCACAGAAAAAUCUCACAAGUUCGUCACUGGUGUCUGGCUGGAGACAAGUUUGCUGCAUGGCUGGACUGAUUUCAGUGUGAAGUUUGGAGGUGUUUCUGCUAUUAAAAAAUAUUAGUUACAAAGACCCUGUUGAAGACAACAAUGAUGGUGGCUAGACAAGUGAACAAAAAUAAAUAAAU